ACUCCGGGCUCUAUGGUAGACAACAGAGAGGACGGUGUGCGGGUAUGCACAGGAACGUGGGGAACUCCCACCCCUGAGCAGAGUCUCAUCCGCCACCGCCAUAAGUAGCCGGGCUUUUUAUCAAUAAGUCAUUGUGAAGACUAUUAUUGAAUUUUACUUGAGAAUCCUUAUCUAUUUCUGGAUUAUGCCAUCACAUUUGGUCUGGCAAUGGCUAUCGGACGUGAAAUUUGCAGUGGGCUAUGAUCUUCCUAUUAUACUUUCUUUAUUGGUGUGUGGGAUAAAUCAAAAAAAAGAAUUUACAACAUUUAGUCAUCUGUACUUCAUUCCUAUUAAAGUUUUAGAACGAGAUUACGUUAUGACACCUAAAACAUCAAAUACUACUUUUUCUUCUUUUCGUUUUAAUUACUUAUCAAUAAAGGCUAUUUGAUAUUGUGCUGUCAAAAGAUAAUUAAACGUUAGAAAGGAACAAUAUUGCCUCUUCGAACAUUCAAAGCACAUUAAAAAAAGAAAAUACAUUUUUUUAGAUGCUUGUAUUCAUUCCUGAGUAUUAUCUCUAUAACAAAUCGUUUACUAAACCAUAUAUUUCAUA